AUGCAUAAAAUGAUAAAAUAUCUGGUGAAAGUACAGCACAGGUACAUCAACACACGUUCCACACUCAAUAAUCCUAACACUCUAUCGCAGUUUCGCGUCCCUUUCCGGCCGAUAGACUUGCUGGUUUGACCAACUUUGAAGGCUCCAAGUUGCAUCGAUACGUGCCGAAAACCGUCUUAUCACACACCGCCACACCGUGACGACGAGAUUGCCCGAGCCGUGGAUGCAACAGGUCCGGCAGAGUCAGAGCAGAGCGGACCUGAGAUUUCGAACCGAGUCGUGAGUAGGUACAGUAACGGUUUCGAUUAAUUGGAGAGUUGUGAACGCGUACAGAGAGUGAUCACAUUAUGCGCGCCAUGUGCUCUAAUCUAAUCAUGGAACGCGUCAAGGGGCGCUUGAGCAAUAUUUUUGUUUACCACGCCAACAAUUUCCCACAGUUCCGUAAAUCACUCUCACGCUCUCUUGACGGUCGUCGGCGUUCACUGAGAGGUUCCGUACGUUACACCGUGCCGAGGAAAAUCCGCACACGAUGGACACAUCCGAUGGUGGGAAUCGGACCUUCGAUCUGCUCGACGAGCUAGAACUAUUGCUACGCCGGAAGGGACGUUUGCCGGUGGUGCUCGUGAUUCUCAUUGCGCUGGCAGUUUGUUUUUUGGUGGUCGGCAUACUGAUGGCCACCGGGAUCAUGCUCGUGACGUUCGUGCUGUUCGUUUGCUUUGACGAAGGUUUUGGCGAGAUGAACACUUCACUAAAUAUUUUAGGCCAAUGAAUAGAAUGUGGUGUGCCUGUUGCGCUAAUAAAGUGUCCCUGUUGCUCCCCUAGAAGCGUAAAGCCAGGGCGUGAGUGUGUGAAGCGUGUUCUACAUUUUA